CAGCAACACUAACGUCAAGGUGAAUUUGAUCAACACUGCUGUUACUCAGAAUGAUUAAACUACACUUGAAAUCUGUGAAAAAAAAUUGAUUUCUUCACCAACAUUUGCCUUUUAACUAUGAAAAAACAAAAUUCUGUGAAACAAAACAGAGCCAGAAGAGUAUACAAAGUUAUUCAGCAAGAAAAUUUUCAACAUGCGCAGGUCAAUUCUCUGUGCUUCCAAGAUAAUUCUCAGACGCCUACCUCCCUGAUGGUAGCUAUCAUGUGGUGCACAUGAAACAAUAAUUUAAUGAUCAAUCAGCUGGCUCAAUGCCAGACAGCUCAGUUUCAAUCUGUUGGAAAUGUGCAAAGCAGACCAUGUCCAAGACUCUGCUCCAAAGGAUACAUUGUUGUGCCUUUAACAAAUUUUUGAUGAUCAACAGCUGCUUUUCUGAGAUUUAAAAUAGCUGUAGACCUUUUAAUUUGCUUCUUUCUAAUGGAACAUGUGGCCAGUGGGACUACAGAUCCUGCUCCAACCCUCCUCAACAAUUUCUCUGACGCAACUCUAGCAGCUCUAAUUGUGCUUGAGCUUGGUACCCAUUGGACAACAUGGUCCACAUCAGCUCGCAUUGGAGAAUGGAUUUUAAUAAGCUUAACAAAACCAAAAGUAAAAAAUACAAAACAACAUUACUGAAUGCAUACAGCAGCUAAUACGAUGAUUCAUUUCAAUUGUGGAGAGAAGCGUAGAAAGUUUGCUUAAUAGGAAAAAAAAUUAUUUAAGAUUCCAAUAGCAUAAGCUAGUAACCUUAGAAGUGAACAUAAUUUAGGUCCAAGCCCUUUCAUAUAGUACGAUCAUCUAGGACAAUAAACAAUGGUUUUACAUCCUUAUGAUUUUGAGAUUAACAGAAGUUAAAAGGUUUUAGCCCAGAAAAAAAAUGGUGAGCAUUCUCUUAGACUUACACCCAAACACUCCAUCAUCUGGUAAUAAGCCCUUCCAUGCAGAGGAGUAUGACCUUGUCGAGACUCUGAGAAAUAUCUGGUCCAUUCCUUGUAUCCAGGAUCCACAGUAAAACCAUACAUAUCAACAGACUCACAAAUAGAAAGUGCAAAUUCAAGAGCCUUGAGGCCAGUUCCCUUCGCUGCCGACCCAAAGGAUGCACCUAACAUGAGAUACACGGGAUUGUUUAUUGGAACAUCCCGAAUCAUCUUGUUCAUAAUGUCAUGUAUUGUUGUUUUGAUUAUCAGGGCCUCCUUCUUUGUUUCAUCUAACUCCACAACUUUAUCAAGGGCUUUGGCAGAUCCUCUGUUAAGAAGACGAAAUGUACUUUUCUUGCCAACAUACUCUGUAUAGUUCUGUAUGGGGGCGCCAUUUUCUCUAACAACAGCAUCAUAACCAUCUAUUUCCUUCCCAAAUCUUGUCUUUAAAAGAUCACCCGAAUUGCCAAUAACGGCACAUCGGUCAAACUGUCUUGGAACAUAUGGUGGUGUUUCAGGGAGCACCAAUGAUAGUUUCUCCAUGCAUAAAGUUUUAUUCAGACAGUGGUUAAGAAGUAUUCCCUUAUUAAUCCUGCGCCAUGCAUAGUCCUCCCAUCCAUUUGGUAGAGCAUCAAUGAACUCCCUUGUGAGUAUAGUAGUGCUAUUCCGCACCUGUUCCCACGUAGCCACAGCCUCACACAGAUUAAAUUCAAACGAUAAUCCUUCAAGUUCUCCAGUUUUUGGAUCUCUCCAUUUAGGGACAGUGUCACUAGGAAAGUUUAUUAUGACUUGGCAAUGAUCGCUACCACUAACAGCUCGUAAACCUAAUCCAUUUGCAUUCACGCACUUCCGGAAACUACUCUGCAGAGAUUCUAAUGCUUCUACAUCUUCAUGCGAUAGCUGGUGGAUCGCAUUUAGAUUGGAGGAGACGCCGGUGAUAUAGAUGAGGAUCGCCGAUAGGCCAGAUGCCAAAGCAACUAAAAAACCAAACUGCAAGAGCCUCAUCUAAUUGAAAUUUGGAAUCUCAAAACUCGAAAAAGAAGAAGAGAGUGAGCGAGGAAUCGAUCUAGACUCCACAGACCAAUAGUACUAGCUAAGUCCUGCGCUUCUAGCCGUGCAAAGACAGCUGAGACAAGUUGGAACUGAGAAGCAACCAUAAUUUCUGGAAAAUCAUUUGCGCGUUAUUUUACAUAAAAAUAAACGACGUCAUUUUAUGUGAUCCGGG
rnacentral:misc_RNA from 1 species